GAUGAAGAACGUAGCGAAAUGCGAUAAGUAAUGUGAAUUGCAGAAUUCAGUGAAUCAUCGAAUCUUUGAACGCACAUUGCGCCCGCCAGUAUUCUGGCGGGCAUGCCUGUCCGAGCGUCAUUUCAACCCUCGCGCCCAUCUGGGCUGCGGUGUUGGGGACCGGCCUGCCCCCCCGGGGCGCGCCGCCCCCCAAAUUCAGUGGCGGUCUCGCUGCAGCCUCCCUUGCGUAGUAGCACACCUCGCACCGGAGCGCAGCGCGGCCACGCCGUAAAACCCCCGACCCCCAUGAGUUUGACCUCGGAUCAGGUAGGAAUACCCGCUGAGUUUAAGCAUAUCAAUAAGCGGAGGA
rnacentral:misc_RNA from 1 species